CCCGGCCACUGCCAGCCUGAAGAAUUCUGACUGGAACACACUCUUGGCAGCCUUCCCCUUGGUUGUGGCGACAUAAAAGCGGCCCUGAGAACUGCCAGCAGAGUGACUGCCCAUGCUGGGAGAUAAGCUGCGGAGCCUCCUUCCCUUUCGAGGCCACAGCUUGACUUUCCAGGGCCGUCGCUCAGAUGAAGACUUACAGAGGGCCUGUCAGCAGGGGUGUACUAGGGGGCAGCGGGCUGCAGGGAGGGGAAUUAAGGGAAGAUUAGUGGGGCAGAACAGCCUCACAAAGCCGAGUUCUCACAAGGGCGUGUGGAGAAAGGACAUGCGGCUGUGGAUUUAUACAUCGCCGCAGUAGGCCUCCACCUAAGUGUCAGGAGUGGUCACUGCCCUGGGAGUAAUAACACCUACUUCAAAGAGCUCCUUCGCUGUCAGGGCCGAGGAGAUCAUGAAGAUGAGGAGUCAGCACACGUGCCUGGGACACGGAUUUCAGCUACAAGCAUCUGCCUGGUAGGUGAGCUUUGCCUGAGAAUUCGUGCCUGGCUCUCUCCUUGAUGACCUCCUUCCCACUCGGAAACAAUCCUGCAGCUCUACCUGUUCCUCCAAAGGCUAAGAGAAGAGCCUGUUAUCUUCUUUUGCUUCAGCAGCAAUUUGGGAUGUCUUCACUGACAUGGAGAGUUCAGUGCCACUUCUGUCCCGGGUGGCCUUCCCCUCCCCCCACUCCCCUGCCCUCCCCUGCCCUCCCCUCCCCUCCCUUUCAUGCCCGAGGAGCCCACUGUAAUAAGGUCCAGGAAACCCUGCACAGCCACCCUCCCUCCCACAAACCCAGUCCACUGGAAACUAGCUGUCUUUUUUCCCCCUGGCUUUAGUGAAGUAUAAUUGACAAAUAAAAUUGUAUACAUUUAAAGUACACAAAGUGAUGAUUUGCUAUACAUAUACAUUGUGAACUGAUUACCACGAUCAAGUUAACUAACAUGUCCAUCGCCUUUUUGUGGUGAGAACACUUAAGAUCUACUCUCUUAGCAGAUUUCAAGCAUAUAAUAAGUAUUAUUAACUACAG